AUGGAUACUAGCAUUCUAGAUUCAGUUUUGCAUUGUGAUGAUUCUUCGGUGGAUGAACCAGAGCUACAGUUAGUUACUUUUGAUAUUGAGGAGACACCUUUAGUUGAUAUUGAUCAUGUGCUGCUAGAGCUAGAUAUGGAAAAGUUCGCCUUCGAUGAUGUUAGCCGCAUUGAUUCCUCAACACUUGAGCCUGAGAUGGAGAGCUUCAUGGUUGAUUAUGGUGAGGUGGAUUCAGAUGUCAAGGAGCCAAGCUCCACUAUUUCACUUGUUGCCACGAGUCCGGUGGAAAUUUCUACUACCACACCUCACUUGGUAUCUUCAAUUGAGGUAGUCCUGAAGCUUCUUCCUAACUAUCUCAGGUAUGAUCGCUACUUUCUCAAAAAGACAUGCCAUAUCAUGGAUACUGCCUAUGCACCAUGCAAUUUGUUGAUGAUAUCUAUUUAUCAUAUGCUCAAUAGAUAUGCUUAUGUGAUAGGAUACUCUAUUGAUGACUUAGAGGGCAUUGUCCCUACACUUGUAUUGGCUUGUUUGUUGAGUUUUCUUUCAGGUUUACGCUUGUAUACCAUUCAUUGCGAGCUGACCAAGUUCGAGAUGACAUCCCAUGGGAUCCUGGUGGAUUCACGGCAUGGUGAUGAGGAGAAGCAAUGGGCACACGUGAAGAAGAGUGAAGAUGGAGCAGGCAUGAGGAUAGAGAAGCAAAAAGAGAAGAGCUGCAGUUUAGAGGGUGUCGAGCGAGUGCCACAUCAAAGCCCGAAAAGUGCGCAAAGGCACUAUAAUCAUCAAGAUUCCGAAUACAUGGCUAACCAGAAGAGAGAAGGGCAUGAAAGAAAUAUGUCAAGGACUUCAGUGAGAAGAAAAGAAGUAUCUAGGGGAGCAAACUAA
rnacentral:rRNA from 1 species